rnacentral:rRNA from 1 species
GACGUAGGGCGCGAGCGUUGUCCGGAUUUAUUGGGCGUAAAGAGCUCGUAGGCGGCUUGUCGCGUCGUCCGUGAAAACCCACAGCUCAACUGUGGGCUUGCGGUCGAUACGGGCAGGCUAGAGUUCGGUAGGGGAGACUGGAAUUCCUGGUGUAGCGGUGAAAUGCGCAGAUAUCAGGAGGAACACCAGUGGCGAAGGCGGCACUCUGGGCCGGUACUGACGCUGAGGAGCGAAAGCGUGGGGAGCGAACAGG